GUUCAUUCUGGAGUAAGCGACC
rnacentral:siRNA from 1 species